GGGAGCGGCCGGGCCCUGGGCGGGGCAGGGCGAGGCUGGAUCUUCGGAACGAGGCCCUGGGAGAGUGGGUUGAGAGAAUGGAAGUGAAGAGGAAGGCUUCACCAUCACCUUAACUAACAUGUGUUUCCUACCGUUAAAUAAACAUUAUAGGAGG